GACGAACGCUGGCGGCGUGCUUAACACAUGCAAGUCGAACGGAAAGGCCCUGCUUUUGUGGGGUGCUCGAGUGGCGAACGGGUGAGUAACACGUGAGUAACCUGCCCUUGACUUUGGGAUAACUUCAGGAAACUGGGGCUAAUACCGGAUAGGAGCUCCUGCUGCAUGGUGGGGGUUGGAAAGUUUCGGCGGUUGGGGAUGGACUCGCGGCUUAUCAGCUUGUUGGUGGGGUAGUGGCUUACCAAGGCUUUGACGGGUAGCCGGCCUGAGAGGGUGACCGGCGGCAGUGGGAGGGAGGUAAGGCGGAGAAGACUACGGGAGGAAGCAGGGGGGGAGAGGGGACAACGGGGGGAAGAAGGAUGAAGGAACGAUGCGGGGGGGAGGAAGGAGGGCGGGGGGUAAAGAGCGGGAGCCGGGGAAGAAGAGGGAGUGACGGUAAUGGGUAAAGAAGCAACGGCUAACUACGUG
rnacentral:rRNA from 1 species